AUGACUGGGGGUGUAGCUCACUGGUAGAGCACCUCUGGGUUAAACCCCAGUGACAGCACUCCUGCUGCUGUAUACAUGGUGGCGACACCCAGUUUUGAGUUUUGUCCAUUUUAGUUGAGAGAAAUAAUAUUCAAUGAAGGCUGAUGACUUAUUUCCUAUGAUCCAGUGCUUCCUGGUUCCCACAAAAGGAGCUUUUCUGUCCUCACUAGAGUCAAACCUAGCAGCUCAGGAGGAGCUAAUGUUAGGGUCAGGCUGCCUCACUGUCCAAGGAUAAAGAGAAAGUUGAAUUGGACGUUCUGGGCAUGAAGGCAUGGGCUCACAUUAUUUAAAAAUCCUUGAGGUGCUGUGUAGUGUGAUUGGAGCACAGGCUGUGGUGGAAAGCUUCACACUUCUAGUCACACUUGUAGUGUCUGUAAGCAAUUUUAAGUGUUGUUUUUUUUUUUUUUUCUGGAAUAAAGAAAGGUCAAUUGGUGUUUCCCUAGAAAAGAUUACUUCACAGGGAGCAGCUACUGCUCAGAGAACUUGAUCUUGUCACACCUGAUACCUGCAUCUUUGAAGCAUCUGCAUCCACUUCUAGAUGGCUUUAGACCAUUUACUUCUGGACCCUUGAAGCUGUGUAGUCCUAUGACUACAUAAGGACCUUCCCAGGUCACUUUCUUGUUUAUCAAAGCCCUUGAGAUACUGUCCUUGAGGGGAGACCCAGUCAAGAUGAUAUUUUCCUUAUCUGAAUUGGGAAACUAUCAGAAAUGAUCCCUCUAUAAAAGCAUUGUAUACAGGAAAACUUUGCUAAAAAAAAAAAGAAGAAAAGAAUAUCACAGCAUUUGUGCUAGAGGUGAAGGCAAACUUAUAAGGUGGAUUCACCAAUCAGAACAAACAGCAGAGGCUGAGCUCUUGCUGCCAUUAUGAUCUUGUGCAGUCUACAGCAGAGGCCCUGUAGGAGCCGUGACUGGAGUAAGGAUCAGCCCAGGGAGCCCUGGCCCUGUUGUCCUGAGUGUGCUCUGCAAGGGCAUUACCUGAAGGAUCUUGUUUUUUGUAGAAGCCCUCUUAGCCCCAUUUUCAUAUGCUAUAAAGAUCUUCAUUAUUUGAUAUAUCCUUUCUUGACAGCUCUCCUAGUGCCUCCCAAAGUGGAUCUGGAGUAAUGGAGACUGUUAGCUUUCUGUUGCUCUAAAAUACCUGACAAGAACAACUUGGAGGGAAAAGUUUAUUUUCGGCUUAUGGUUUCAAAGGUUUAGGCCAUGGUCAGCUGGCUCCAUUGCUCUGGUCUGAAGGUGAGUCAGAGCAUCAUGGCAGAAGGGCAUGGUGGAGGAAAGCUGCUUAUCUCAUGGCAGCUGGGAAGCAGAGUGUGUGAGGAGCCAGGAACAAAACGUAUACUCCAAAGGCAUACCCCCAGUAACCUAACUUCCUCUAGCCAGGCCCUGCCUGCCUACAGUUACCACCAUUUGUCCAAAUUAUCAAUUCAUCAAAUAGAUUAAUCCACUGAUUAGGUUCAAGCUCUCAUUAUCUGAUCAUUUUACUUCUUGCAUUAACACAGGAGCUUUUGGGGACAUUUUGUAUCCAAACUACAACAGGGCUUUUAAGCCCUGGGCCAGGUGGGCCACGGGCUUGGAAGGGCAGACCUGUCCAGGGUGAUGCUGCUGCACGCAGCAUGCCUGCCUCUCUGAGACAGUUCUGCUCUUGCACCGUUAACUUAUACCUUUAGGAGAUGCCAGCUUGAACAUUUGCCUAUUGAAAACUACAUUCUACAACUUUAGGAUUUCUUAUUUCUCUCUCUCUCUCUCUUUUUUUUUCCUUUGGUACUAGGGAUUGAAUGUAGGGUCUCACUAGGCAAGUGCCGUAUCGCUGAGCUACACCUGUGUGCCACUUUAUGGCCCACACAGCUGACUGGGGGAAGGCCAAUUCCAGACCUUUUCCUUCCACCUCUCCUUGCACAUACAAAAUCCUCCCAGCUAAGCAGGCUGAGAAGAGAAAGUGACAGAAAGCAGGAGGUGGCUGUGACAGAGUGGACCUGGUGGCUCGAUUAUGAUGUCAGCCUCCUCCUCCUGUGAGCCAAGGGAGGCAGGGACUGAAGGACUGAACCCUAUGCUCCUUUAUUUUGAGACAGGGUCAUGCUUAGUUGCCCAGACUGGCCUCAAACUUAAAAUUUUCCCGCUUCAACCUCCUGAGUAGCUGGGAUUACAGGUGUACAGCACCACAUCUGCCUCCUUUGGGGUUUCUGUGACUCAAUUUGACAACUUAGCUUAAGGGGUCCAUUUGGUCUUUAGCUCUGCCCUGUUCAGCUGUGUGUCCUUGGGCAAUUUUUUUAAACCCCUCACAUCUGUCAAGUUGAGGAAUUUAAAUCUUGAAGAGUUCCAAUCUUGAAGAGCUGGUUGGUAAAUUGAAUAAGUUGAUGAACAUAGUUAUUUGAACAACACCUGGCACAAGUAAGAACCUAGUAAUGGCUGCUACUGAAGUAAUUGUCAUCCUUUUGCUCAUGUUUUCAAUUUGUUUCAGGAACAGGUGAAAAAUAAUUUGCUUUGCAUUUGUUUGUGGUAUGUCCUGGACUUUGUGCUCUACCCGGAGCCGCUCAAACGAUUAGUUCUUGCAGGAAAGUCACCUUUAAGCUGUUUACCCAUCCACCACCCCAGUUUCAGGCGUUCUCUGAGUUACUUUCUUUAGGUCAAUUUGGUUUUGGUUUGUGGUACUAGAGAUUGAGCCAGGGGUGCUCUACCACUGAGCUACAUCCCCAGCUCUUUUCUAUUUAAGAAAUUUUUUUUAGUUGUAGAUGGACAAAGUACCUUUAUUUUAUUUCUUUAUUUUUAUGUGGUACUGAGGAUUGAACCUGUUGCCUCAUGCAUGCUAGGCAAGCACUCUACCACUGAGCCACAAUCCCAGCCCAGCUCUUUUCUAUUUUAAAAUAGGAUCUCAUGAAGUUGCCAAGGCUGGCCUUGAAGUUGAGAUCCUCCUGACUCAACCUACCAAGUAGCUGGAUUGCAGGUGUGCACAAAUGCACCCGGCUUUGGGGCUGUUUUAGUGACAUGCUUGUAUCAGUCUAACAUUCAUUACUUCAUUGGAUCCUUACACCAGCCCUUGUUCAUUUUACAGAUAGAAAAAGCAGACAUGAAGAAUCAUUUCCCCAAGAGAAAAGCCACACAGAUGGACAGUGGUGGGAGCAGCCACUGUUGGGGUUUGGACCCUCAGGGGCUGGGCUGAGAGUGCUGAGCACAGUCUAGAGCCUAAUGCUGACUCACCCUUAGAAAGCCCCAUGCUCACUCUCCUGUCUUCUAACACUUCUAACUUCUGAUGAUAUAUAGGAAGAGGGGAAAGAAAAGCUUUAUGCCAUUUGGUGCCCAGAUAUCUCCUGUUGGUGCCAUCUAAUGCUUAAUGGAAGGCAGCCAGAGCUCAAGAAGAGGUCAGGAUCAGCAGCUCUGUUCAGCCCACUCGGAUCUGGAUCUGGAGUGCAGGAGCUGUAGGUUUCAGGAAUUAUCCUGCAUCUAACAGUGAAAUGGCUUCUGGGACAUGUUAAUAAACUUAGGCAUUUGGUUGACCCACUUUGAGGCUUUCUUGUAUGCUUGCUUGCUUGUAUUUACAUGUGGUGGUGGGGUUGAGCAGCAGGGAGUGGUUUCAGUGGGAAGGGGAAGAACCUCCACAGCCCCACCACUGAGAAUGGAACCCAGGGGCUCUCUACCAUUGAGCUGCAAUCUUAGCCUUUUUUUUUUUUUUGAGGUAGGGUUUUGCUAAGUUGCUAAAGAUCUUGCUGAGUUGCCCAAGCUGGUCUCCACCUUGUGAUCCUCCUGCCUCAGCCUCCCAGGUUGCUGGGAUUACAGGUGUGUGCUACCAUGCCAAAUACCUUCCAGGUCAUAGGCCACAUCACAUAAAAAAAAUUGAGGACAUGUCAGGUCUGAGUAGCAGAGCAAGAAGAGAUUUACUAUAAAGGGAAAGUACAUACUUGAGACUGGGAGUGUGGGUGAGCUUGGAGAGAGAGAGUCCUACUAUCUUAGUCUGGGGUUCCCUAUUUUUUAGUGGCACAUUAUAAUUAUGCAUAAUAGUAGGCUUUAUUGUUAUGUAUUCAUUUGAUCUGAUUCUAACAUUUAUGGAGUAGGUGGAGGCUGAACUAGAGGUGGAGUCAGGGUGAUACAAUUUUGUGUCCAUUUUCCUUGGGGUCUCUCCUUGCCCUUGCAUAUUUUAAUCAUGGUACUUCCUACAUUGCAUUUGUCAAUAGCAUCUUAAAUCUCUACCCAGGGUUGUGCCCUUCAUGAUUAUAAUGAAGGUUGGGUCAUUUCUUGGUCACCAAAGUCUCUAAUGCACAUUCCCAGUAGAGGAAUGGCUCCUGUAGGUGCCUUUUGGUUGUCCUGUGGUCUUGUUUUUCUAUCAGUCACCAAGUUGUGGGCAAGGACACAGGUGAAAGGACUGGGGCAGGAUUGCUCUUGAGUUGUUAAUUUUGCAUUCCAAGAAUUUGUGGGUGAUUCUCUUUUGAGAUUCAGUGUCCCUAAAUUUCUAUCUUAGACUGACGUUUUUGUUUUUUUUGGCGCCAGGGAUUGAACUCAGGGGCACUUAACCACUGAGCCAUAUCCCCAGCCCUAUUUUGUAUUUAGAGACAGGGUCUCACUGAAUUGCUUAGCACCACACUUUUGCUAAGCCUGUCUUUGAACUAGCGAUCUUCCUUCCCCAGCCUCCCGAGCUGCUGGGAUUACAGGCAUGAGCCACUGCACCCAGGCAUACCAAGGUUUUUGAUAUAGAAUAUUGACCAGGAAGUGAUGGGAGAUACUGACAUAUGUGAUAUUGUGAAAUAUGUAUCUGACCUUUAUUCCUCUUUGCUGGUAUGUAACUCCUAAAAUCCUUAGACUCUCCAAAGUGAUAUGACUUGGGAGCAUGGUGGGGCAUACCUGUCAUCCUAGUGACUCAGGAGGCUGAGGCAGGAGGAUCUCAAGUUUGAGGUUAGCUUUGUCAAUGUAUCAAGAUUCCAUCUCAAAAUACAAAGGACUGGGGGUGGGGUGUGACUCAGUGAUAAAGCACCCUAGGGUUCAAACCCUAGUACCACAAAAACAAAACAAAAAAAUGUCUUUUUGUAUAUUAAUGAGUUGACUGGUGGUGGGCAGUUCCUAAAAAGCUUCAGAGUGGGGAAUAGUCCCCCCAAAAAGCAAAGCAGGAUUAGAGGGUUAGGACUUUCAGUACCACUCAAGAGCUGGGAGGCUGAAGGAGUGGGAGGUUGAAGGUUAAGUUGAUUACCCGUGGCCAAGGAUGUAAUCAUUCAUGCCUCCAUAAUAAAGUCUUCAUAAAAAUGCAAAAGGACAGAGUAUGGAGAAGCUUCCAGGUAGUUGAACAUGUGGAGGUUACUGGAGAGCAGUGUUCCUCGCGAGGGCAUGCAGGCCCAAUGGAAGAGUUGGUGGUUUCUACAAUAGCAGCCUGCAAGUCCCUGAAAAGUGACUUCAGCAAUGACUAUCAAUAUGACUCCCACACCGGGGGACUUUUUAGGUUUUUGUCACUGUGACCAAAAUACCUGGUAAGAACAACUUAGAGGAGGAAAAGUUUGUCUUGACUCACAGUUUGAGACUUCCUGGUCAGCAGAGAGAGGGGAGAGGGAAAGGGCCACAGGGAAGAUGCAUCCCUCCAGGGACAUCCCCAGGGGCACACCUCCUGCAGUCAUGCCCCGUCUGCCUAGUUAUCUCCUCGUCAGUCCUAUUGGAACUGGGAUGGACUGAGUAGGCUACAGCUCUCAAUCUACUUGUUCUACCUUCCUGUGUUAACACAAGAGCUUUUGAGGGACACCUCAUAUCCAAACUACAGCCGAACUCAGUUGAAGGCUAAUAACAUCACUCAGCUGUGCCACCUCCAAAUUUAGUGAUUUUUAAAGUGAACUAAAAGUUGGUAACUAAAAGCAAGUGAAGCUGGAGAGUUUAUUUGGGGUUCUCUUGGUUCCAAGCCUGCACAGCCUCUCUUUUCUUAGUGAUUUUUCAAUCCCAGAGAAAGGGGCAAGUCUGGGAUCUAUCCCAGACUGAACACUUGAAAAUGCACAAAGAGUGAUCCCUAAAUCUUCAAGAGACAUAAUCUCUAAGUAGAUUUUAAUGUGAACAAGAAAUCAAAUCAUUUAUAUCAAAUAUAAUUGAUAAUUGGCUGAUAAAAAAAAUAGUUGCAAUAAACUAAAAACGAGUGUGGAUAAAUGAAAUUGGUAUACCAUGUGAUGUAUUUUUAUUUUUAAACUUUUUGAUUGUUGAGAUUGAACCCAGGGACACUUAACCACUGAGCCACGUCCCCAGCCCUUUUCAUUUUUUAAAAUUUUGAGACAGGGUCUUGCUAAGUUGCUUAGAGCCUCACUAGGUUGUUGAUGCUGGCUUUGAACUUGGAAUCCUCCUGUCUCAGCCUCCCAAGUGGCUGGGAUUACAGGUGUGGGCCACUCUGCCUGGCUUAAAUUUCUAUUUUCAAAACACUGAAGGGCAUGGAGAAAUGCUCAUAAUGAAUUAUCAAGGUAACUGGACUAUCAGAUUAUCCAAGUUUUGUAAAACUGUCUAAAUUUAGUUGAACAUCUAGAGAUGUAUGGGGUGAUAAUUUUUAAAUUAUCUAAAAUUCUGUAUGCACAAGAAUUCCAUCCAUAUGUUUUGGUGUGUUGUCCUUUUGUCUUUAAAGUGGCUGUAAGUACUUUGUUCCCCUUGCCAUACUGUUCCUGUGAGACAGAAACCUCAUCUCUAUUUAUGCCCUGGAACCCAGGUCCUGACUCUGGUGACCUAAGAAUAUUUCUUGAAGUACUGCACUUGAAAAAAAAGGCUCCUCUUUGUCAUAAUUUGAAGUGACAAAACAGUGAUAUCAAGAUGACACCACCAAAGCAUUGAUCUUACAGAAUUUGGGUUUGAUGUGACAGCAAGCCUCUUAAGAAGUCUCCCUUUUUGCAGACAAAUCACCUAGCUCCGCAGCUCUUGUGUCAUUUUCUAUGUGACCACCAAGGGGCAGUGCCUGACUGUUGCUUCCAUGACACUGCCUAUUGCAGAAGGUUUGCAAGUUUUGCCCUCUACAGAACACGUUUAAUAAUGGUAGUUAAUUUGUUUAAUAAACAUUAAUUUGCUUUUAUUCUUCAUUACAAUUUGGACGCUGAUGAAAAUUCUCCACAAGAAACAAACACAUGAGGGCUGGGGAUAUGGCUCAAGCGGUAGUGCGCACUCCUGGCAUGCGUGCGGCCCGGGUUGGAUCCUCAGCACCAUAUACAAACAAAGAUGUUGUGUCCGCCGAUAACUAAAAAAUAAAUAUUAAAAAUUCUCUCUCUCUCUCUCUCUCUCUCUCUCUCUCUCUCUUAAAAAAAAC
rnacentral:lncRNA from 1 species